rnacentral:rRNA from 1 species
AUGGAGAUAACAAGGGUGGAACCCCAGAUAACAGAACAAAAACUGACAAGGGGAAGGCAAUUCGGCGAGGUUGAAGACAUUGUUAUCAAGACCAGGAAACCAAGGAGCAAGGGUUCAGCAAUUGUUGUGAUGGCUUCCAAAGUGGCGGCUCAAACAGCACUGAAGAACCAUUCUGUGUACAACGUCUUCCCAGUCCCAUUAAUGGUUGCUCCCAUCGAAGAAUUGGUUGGGUCACCAGCAUUCGCAGCUCCAACAUCUGAACCGAGGGCAAGCAAUGUUGAUGGAACUGGAUUCAGUGAUAUGGAGGCAUCGGUGUUCCGAAAACUUCAAGAGGUACUGAAAAUGAAGAUUCGAAAAAAACGACUUUUCGUUGCAACCGAUUUGGUUCUUCAGUUUUCACUGUAUUUGCCAA